rnacentral:tRNA from 1 species
AGAAAGAUAAGCUAAAUAAGCUACUGGGUUCAUACCCCAUUUAUAGAGGUUCAACCCUCUUCUCUCUA